AGAGUUUGAUCCUGGCUCAGGAUGAACGCUGGCGGCGUGCUUAACACAUGCAAGUCGAACGGGAAUUAUUUUAUUGAAACUUCGGUCGAUAUGAUUUAAUUCUAGUGGCGGACGGGUGAGUAACGCGUGGGUAACCUGCCUUAUACAGGGGGAUAACAGUCAGAAAUGACUGCUAAUACCGCAUAAGCGCACAGAGCUGCAUGGCUCGGUGUGAAAAACUCCGGUGGUAUAAGAUGGACCCGCGUUGGAUUAGCUAGUUGGAGAGGUAACGGCCCACCAAGGCGACGAUCCAUAGCCGGCCUGAGAGGGUGAACGGCCACAUUGGGACUGAGACACGGCCCAGACUCCUACGGGAGGCAGCAGUGGGGAAUACUGCACAAUGGGGGAAACCCUGAUGCAGCGACGCCGCGUGAAGGAAGAAGUAUCUCGGUAUGUAAACUUCUAUCAGCAGGGAAGAAAAUGACGGUACCUGACUAAGAAGCCCCGGCUAACUACGUGCCAGCAGCCGCGGUAAUACGUAGGGGGCAAGCGUUAUCCGGAUUUACUGGGUGUAAAGGGAGCGUAGACGGAUGGACAAGUCUGAUGUGAAAGGCUGGGGCUCAACCCCGGGACUGCAUUGGAAACUGCCCGUCUUGAGUGCCGGAGAGGUAAGCGGAAUUCCUAGUGUAGCGGUGAAAUGCGUAGAUAUUAGGAGGAACACCAGUGGCGAAGGCGGCCUACUGGGCACCAACUGACGCUGAGGCUCGAAAGUGUGGGUAGCAAACAGGAUUAGAUACCCUGGUAGUCCACACCGUAAACGAUGAUUACUAGGUGUUGGAGGAUUGACCCCUUCAGUGCCGCAGUUAACACAAUAAGUAAUCCACCUGGGGAGUACGACCGCAAGGUUGAAACUCAAAGGAAUUGACGGGGGCCCGCACAAGCAGUGGAGUAUGUGGUUUAAUUCGACGCAACGCGAAGAACCUUACCAAGUCUUGACAUCCUGCGACGCACAUAGAAAUAUGUGUUUCCUUCGGGACGCAGAGACAGGUGGUGCAUGGUUGUCGUCAGCUCGUGUCGUGAGAUGUUGGGUUAAGUCCCGCAACGAGCGCAACCCUUACUGUCAGUUACUACGCAAGAGGACUCUGGCAGGACUGCCGUUGACAAAACGGAGGAAGGUGGGGAUGACGUCAAAUCAUCAUGCCCUUUAUGACUUGGGCUACACACGUACUACAAUGGCGUUAAACAAAGAGAAGCAAGACUGCGAGGUGGAGCAAAACUCAGAAACAACGUCCCAGUUCGGACUGCAGGCUGCAACUCGCCUGCACGAAGUCGGAAUUGCUAGUAAUCGUGGAUCAGCAUGCCACGGUGAAUACGUUCCCGGGCCUUGUACACACCGCCCGUCACACCAUGAGAGCCGGGGGGACCCGAAGUCGGUAGUCUAACCGCAAGGAGGACGCCGCCGAAGGUAAAACUGGUGAUUGGGGUGAAGUCGUAACAAGGUA
rnacentral:rRNA from 1 species